GCCUCGGUGGCUAAGUCGGUUGAGCACCUGACUUUGGCUCAGGUCAUGAUCUCACAGUUCGUGGGUUUGAGCCCCCACAUCAGGCU
rfam:Felis catus isolate Cinnamon breed Abyssinian chromosome C1, whole genome shotgun sequence.